rnacentral:tRNA from 1 species
GGGGUUGUAGCUUAGUGGUAAAGUGCUUGCCUGGCACGUGGGAGGCCCUGGGUUCGAUCCUCAGCACCA